GCGCAGCCAGGCAGGGGCUAGAAGGGAGAUCUUCUCAGAGAGAACUGUCGGUUUCAGUGUUUUCUCUUGCCUGUUGCUCUGCAUCAGUGAAGGCGUUGGAUGCUCACUGCCUGCUGUGCAGCACAACUCAUGGAUAAUGGCCCAAAUAUUCUCUCCAGAGAAACAAGUCGUUUGGAAACUGCAUUACACCAUCAGCGUGGUAUUAGAUAAUCCUUGCCAAGUGAUCCCACUGAAUGCCAGCUGGAAUAAGAUUAGCUCCUCCUGAACCUGAGACAUGAAACAAUGACUGCCAGAGACUCCUGCACUGGAGGACCUAGUACCCAUCUCGAAUUUUUAAGAUGCAGGAUCCUGGUUCACUGUCAGAGUUCUGUGUGAAACCUUUCUUUUUGCAAGACUCCUGUCCCUCAGUCUCUGGGUCUGCAUUUGAACUCUCCAGAAGAUGAAGUGUCCUUCUAUCUCUAUUUCUUCUUCUUCCCCGUGAAAGUCAAGCUGUGAGCAUGUGAGGGGGCAGUGCAUCUCAAUUGCAUUCUGCCAUCGUCCUGAUAAAUCCAGCAGUAUGUGGCAGCCCCCUUUAGAUACUGAAAGGCUGCUGUCAUAUCUCCCCAGAACCUUUUCUUCUUUGUGAUGAACAGCCC
ensembl:lncRNA